CUCUUUCUUUCUCUCUCACACACAGUUUCUCUUACUGUCACUCAGUCCUCCCAGUCCCUUUCAGUGCAAGUUCACAGCCUGUAUCCUUGUGUUCGCCACUAGCUGUCCUUUGUAUUUGACAGGAAGCAUCUUAUUUUGGCGUUAUUAGGGGUUUGUGUUAAAUCAUGUUAAGUGCUGCGUACUUCUCCCUUUCUGAUGAGAAAUGACUUAUUCUGUCCUUAUUGUGGGGUUUGUAUCAUUUCGAUUUAAGUGAAUUUCUUAGGUCAUAGUGAGACGCAGCUGACCCUGGCCCAGAUUCCAUUUUGGCUUUCUGUGAGUGCACCCCUGACCAGUCAGCAUUCUGGACCGGCGAGCUAAUUGCUAGCUUUGAAAUUCUGCUUUCUUCUAAAAUUUACAUGUGUGCUGUACCAGUUUCACAAAUAAAUCAUUUGAAGCUCUA